rnacentral:rRNA from 1 species
AGCAGCCGCGGUAAUUCCAACUCCAAUAGCGUAUAUUAAAGUUGUUGCAGUUAAAAAGCUCGUAGUUGAACUUCGGGAUCAAUGGAUUGGUCAUGCCGAUGGUGUGUACUGGUCAUAUUGGUUCUCACCUUCUAAGGAACCAUAAUGUCAUUUAUUUGAUGUUGUGGGGAAUUAGGACUGUUACCUUGAAAAAAUUAGAGUGUUUAAAGCAGGCUAACGCUUGAAUACAUUAGCAUGGAAUAAUGAAAUAGGACAUCGCAUUCUAUUUUGUUGGUUUCUAGGAUCGAUGUAAUGAUUAAUAGGGAUAGUUGGGGGCAUUAGUAUUCAAUUGUCAGAGGUGAAAUUCUUGGAUUUAUUGAAGACUAACUACUGCGAAAGCAUUUGCCAAGGAUGUUUUCAUUAAUCAAGAACGAAAGUUAGGGGAUCGAAGACGAUCAGAUACCGUCGUAGUCUUAACCAUAAACUAUGCCGACUAGGGAUCGGAUGAUGUUGAUUUUUUAAUGACUCAUUCGGCACCUUA